rnacentral:rRNA from 1 species
UACGUAGGGUGCAAGCGUUGUCCGGAAUUAUUGGGCGUAAAGAGCUUGUUGGCGGUUUGUCGCGUCUGCUGUGAAAUUUCGGGGCUCAACCCCGAACUUGCAGUGGGUACGGGCAGACUAGAGUGUGGUAGGGGAGACUGGAAUUCCUGGUGUAGCGGUGAAAUGCGCAGAUAUCAGGAGGAACACCGAUGGCGAAGGCAGGUCUCUGGGCCACUACUGACGCUGAGAAGCGAAAGCGUGGGGAGCAAACAGG